UAGGGAAUCUUCCGCAAUGGGCGAAAGCCUGACGGAGCAACGCCGCGUGAGUGAUGAAGGUCUUCGGAUCGUAAAACUCUGUUAUUAGGGUAGAACAAAUGUGUAAGUAACUAUGCACGUCUUGACGGUACCUAUUCAGAAAGCCACGGCUAACUACGUGCCAGCAGCCGCGGUAAUACGUAUGUGGCAAGCGUUAUCCGGAAUUAUUGUGCGUAAAGCGCGCGUAGGCGGUUUUUUAAGUUUGAUGUGAAAGCCCACGGCUCAACCGAGGAAGGUCAUUGUAAACUGCAAAACUUGAGUGCAGAAGAGGAAAGUGGAAUUCCAGGUGUAGCGGUGAAAUGCGCAGAGAUAUGGAGGAACUCCAGUGGCGAAGGCGACUUUCUGGUCUGUAACAGACGAUGAUGUGCGAAAGCGUGGGUAUCAAACAGG
rnacentral:rRNA from 1 species